UACGUAGGGUGCAAGCGUUGUCCGGAAUCAUUGGGCGUAAAGCGCGCGUAGGCGGCCCGAUAAGUCCGCUGUAAAAGUCAACGGCUCAACUGUUGAAAGCCGGUGAAUACUGUCGGGCUAGAGUCCGGAAGAGGAGAGUGGAAUUCCUGGUGUAGCGGUGAAAUGCGCAGAUAUCAGGAAGAACACCCGUGGCUAAGGCGGCUCUCUAGUACGGUACUGACGCUGAGACGCGAAAGCGUGGGGAGCGAACAGG
rnacentral:rRNA from 1 species